rnacentral:rRNA from 1 species
CCUACGUGCGGCAGCAGUGGGGGAUAUUGCACAAUGGGGGAAACCCUGAUGCAGCGACGCCGCGUGUGGGAAGACGGUCCUCUGGAUUGUAAACCACUGUCCCCAGGGACGAAGAUGACGGUACCUGAUGAAUAAGCCACGGCUAACUACGUGCAAGCAGCCGCGGUAAUACGCAGGGGGCAAGCGUGAUCCGGAGUUACUGGGUGUAAAGGGCGGGUAGGCGGGAAAGCAAGUCAGAUGUGAAAGCCAUGGGCGCAACCUGUGUGCUGCAUUUGAAACUGGUAUUCUUGAGUACUGGAGAGGCAGACGGAAUUCCUAGUGUAGCGGUGAAAUGCGUAGAUAUUAGGAGGAACACCAGUGGCGAAGGCGGUCUGCUGGACAGAAACUGACGCUGAGGCGCGAAAGCGUGGGGAGCAAACAGGAUUAGAUAACCCAGUAGUC